rnacentral:rRNA from 1 species
ACUCCUACGGGAGGCAGCAGUCGGGAAUAUUGCACAAUGGAGGAAACUCUGAUGCAGUGACGCCGCGUACAGGAAGAAGGUCCUCUGGAUUGUAAACUGUUGUCGAAGGGGAAGAUAAUGACAGUACCCUUGGAGGAAGCUCCGGCAAACUACGUGCCAGCAGCCGCGGUAAUA